GAUGAACGCUGGAGGCGUGCCUAAUACAUGCAAGUCGAGCGAACAGACGAGGAGCUUGCUCCUCUGACGUUAGCGGCGGACGGGUGAGUAACACGUGGAUAACCUACCUAUAAGACUGGGAUAACUUCGGGAAACCGGAGCUAAUACCGGAUAAUAUAUUGAACCGCAUGGUUCAAUAGUGAAAGACGGUUUUGCUGUCACUUAUAGAUGGAUCCGCGCCGCAUUAGCUAGUUGGUAAGGUAACGGCUUACCAAGGCAACGAUGCGUAGCCGACCUGAGAGGGUGAUCGGCCACACUGGAACUGAGACACGGUCCAGACUCUUACGGGAGGCAGCAGUAGGGAAUCUUCCGCAAUGGGCGAAAGCCUGACGGAGCAACGCCGCGUGAGUGAUGAAGGUCUUCGGAUCGUAAAACUCUGUUAUUAGGGAAGAACAAAUGUGUAAGUAACUAUGCACGUCUUGACGGUACCUAAUCAGAAAGCCACGGCUAACUACGUG
rnacentral:rRNA from 1 species